rnacentral:tRNA from 1 species
ACCCACGUGCUGAAAUUGGUAGACAGGCUGUGUUGAGGGCGCAGUGUCCUACGGACGUGCGGGUUCAAGUCCCGCCGUGGGUA